AUUGAACGCUGGCGGCAGGCCUAACACAUGCAAGUCGAACGAGUGGCGGACGGGUGAGUAAUGUCUGGGAAACUGCCCGAUGGAGGGGGAUAAAUACUGGAAACGGUAGCUCAUACCGCAUACCAUCGGAUGUGCCCAGCUGGGAUUAGCUAGUAGGUGGGGUAACGGCUCACCUAGGCGACGAUCCCUAGCUGGUCUGAGAGGAUGACCAGCCACACGGGAACGGAGAAACGGUCAAGCGUCUUACGUGAGGAAGCAGUGGGGAAUAUGGCACAAGGGGCGCAAUCCUGAUGCAGCAAGGCCGCGUGUAUGAAGAAGGCCUUCGGGUUGUAAAGUACUUUCAGCGAGGAGGCGUUACUCGCAUAAGAAGCACCGGCUAACUCCGUGCCAGCAGCCGCGGUAAUUC
rnacentral:rRNA from 1 species